UGAGAUUUGACUUCUCUGCAACAUGGAGAUCUAUAAUGAAAGUCAUGGAUACUUAUAUUAAGGGGCUAUUUUUUAUUUUUAAAAGUUUCUGAGUUUCUGAUGACUAACCGAUCUCCUUGUAAUAUUUUUUGUAUAUAAUUUUCCAUGCCAAUGGUUUAAUUUAAUCUUGUUUUUAUUUUAGUUUCACUCUCAAGCUGUAUUCUGCCUAAGCUAUGCAUUACAGAGUCAAUCAUUUUAUUAACCUUCUUGUUUAUGUUUUUGUUCCAAAUGUAUGUUAGUAUCGUGGAAUAAUUGUUGUUAACUUUUACUGAUUGAAAGUUCACUUGUAGUGCCAAACAGGUCGGAUUUCGUUUAAGCUUUAUGAUUGGAAUCCAGCAGAAUUUCCUAGAAGGCUACGACACCAAAUAUUCCAAUGAUUGGCAAGUAUGCCUGUGAAGUUGGAGGGUUAUAUCUGCCCUGGGUGCACCAUUUUGACAAGUUUUAUUGCAAUGCCUAACAUUAUAUGGAUAAAUGUAUCUGAUCAAGGGAGUGUGCCAAACAAUAGAUGUAAUGAAGAAGAAGAAAAUUAGAUAUUGUUAUUGAAUAUCUUUAUGAUUCAUAUUUUUAGUAUUGAACAUUUGUAUUGAAUAUAUGUAUUGAACAUCUAUAUAGAAUAUAUGUAAUGAACAUCUUUCUUUUUAA